CCGCCCCGCACGCCCGGGGCGUCCCAACGUCUCAUUGCGAGACGGGGCGCACCCAGAGCGUACACGCUGGGACCCGAAAGAUGGUGAACUAUGCCUGGUCAGGACGAAGUCAGGGGAAACCCUGAUGGAGGUCCGUAGCGAUUCUGACGUGCAAAUCGAUCGUCGGAACUGGGUAUAGGGGCGAAAGACCGAUCGAACCUUCUAGUAGCUGGUUCCCUCCGAAGUUUCCCUCAGGAUAGCUGGCGCUCACAGAGUCUCAUCUGGUAAAGCGAAUGAUUAGAGGCAUUGGGGUCGAAACGGCCUCAACCUAUUCUCAAACUUUAAAUGGGUGAGAUCUCCGGCUUGCUUGAACUAUGA
rnacentral:rRNA from 1 species